UAUUGCACUCAAACUAGAAAAUAUCCCUUUUGGAAAUUAUAUCCAAAUAUAAUUUCCUUUCAAAAUUCCCUAUUCAAAUUCCCUCCAAAUACAAAUCCUAUUCCAUUAGAAAUUCACAAAUAAUUCUUUAUGGGCCGAGAUCUUCUUUUCUCUCUUUCGGCCCUCCUCUCUCUAGUGGCCCAGCUAGCCCAGGAGGCAACCGCCUCUCUCCUCCUCUUCCAGGUGCGCACGCCGCCGCCAACACCUUCCGUCGCCGCUAAGAAAUCGGUGUCGUCGCUCUCUCCUCCUCCGCCGCUGCCGUGCCUUGCCCUCCUCCACCGCCGCCGCCAGCUUGCCUUCGACACCAAGCAACCGUUGCCGACGUCAUCCGCCACCUCACACCGCCGACGUUAGCUCCUGGAGCGAACCGCCAUCAUCGACCAAUCAACAGACAAGGCCGACGCCGUGAUCGUCUUUUCCACGCCGCCGUCGCCAUGUCCUCCUUCUCCUCCUCUGCGAACCGACUUGAGCAACCGACCUCUGCCGCCUAUAAAUACCUGCGAGCCGUCCCUUUCUCCCCCACACAUCAUCAGAGCCUCGAGCUCUUCCUCUCUCUCCUGCCAUGUCCGGCCGCCGCCUACCGUCGGCCGAUCUCCUUCACCAUAGUUUCACAACCCAAACCCUCGCGCCAUCGGCUUUGCCUCGGCGAGAUGAAUCCGUUUUUCUCCUUUCCCUUCUCCUUUAGCCACCACCACAAGCCAUCACCGCCACCAUCCAUGCCGGCCAUGGUUGAGCUCCUGCCGUCGCCGUUCCGGCCAUCUCACUCUCCACCUUAGCUAGCUACCACCCUCCCUGGAUGCGCGUCGCUCAGGAACAUGUUUUGCCGCCGACGUCGCAGCCUCUCGACCACCGGAGCACCAGCGCCCCUUUCUCCCUCUCUUCUCCCUUCUCUCGGCUCUCUGUGAAGCAGGAGGAAGAACAAGACGAGAAGAAGAAGAGAAAGAAGAGAAAAGGGAAUAGACACUGACAGAGUUAAUUUGGAGUCUUGCCGAAGCCGGGAGUUCAAUCAUAUAAGUUAGUCUCAUCCUAACUUAAUUCUCAAGUAUAGAUUAGAUAGAUGGUUUAAGUCUAUAGCAAAACACUAGAGUUGUGUCAUCGUAUAGCUUCUGCUGUAAUAGUUAGCCAAAAGUUUGUAAAUACCCUAUUAUUUUAUGUAAAGGAAUCUCCUUUAAAACCUUGAUCAAAUGUAUGCAAUGAAGAUCCAGAUUGUUGAACCU